ACGGAGGGUGCAAGCGUUAUCCGGAAUCACUGGGUUUAAAGGGUGCGUAGGCGGCCUGGUAAGUCAGAGGUGAAAGCUUCCCGCUCAACGGGAGAACUGCCUUUGAUACUGCCGGGCUCGAAUUGGGUUGAGGCUGGCGGAAUGUGGCAUGUAGCGGUGAAAUGCUUAGAUAUGCCAUAGAACACCGAUUGCGAAGGCAGCCAGCCAAGCCUUGAUUGACGCUGAGGCACGAAAGCGUGGGGAGCGAACAGGAUUAGAUACCCUGGUAGUCCACGCCCUAAACGAUGUUUACUCGACGUCCGGCCCCUGCGGUCGUGCGUCCAAGCGAAAGCGUUAAGUAAACCACCUGGGGAGUACGUUCGCAAGAAUG
rnacentral:rRNA from 1 species